UGAGGAAAUGUCCUUCCUGAGAUACCGUAGGCUCAGGCAGACCUUGGUACCUCCUACUUCCUGGUUCACCCAUUAGAAAGGGUAUAAAAGCUGCACAUAAUGAAGCUGCUGUCACCACGCUUGUCCCUUUCUGUGUUGGAGUCUGGCUGGAGAAUCCAAUGAGCUGCUUGUCAGGGAGGCCCAAACCAUGUGUGAGCCGGACCAGGGGUGUUUGAGGCUGUCGACAGCGUAGCAUCCCAGAUGACUGCUAUGGCUGAUUCCACACACAGAAUCAAGAUUAACAUUGGCUAAAACUUCCAAAUGGCUUGCCAAAGUCACUAGAUGUCUUCACUGCAAGAUGAAGACAACCUUUAGGUUAAAGGGCAACCUGUCACUUCAAUACAUGGACCAAGAGUUUGGCAAUUACUUUUUAAUCUCAACUCUACCACUGAAUUUCAGGGACAAGUAGGAGGCCAAAGGGGUUAGUUGACGUGUAAAAUGUUUGCCCUACCUCUGUGGAUUCCCCGUGAGAAAUUGCGUAACCCGGUUUUAUAAAUUGUGGCAGAUAAUUUUUUUUAAAUAUUGUCAUUUACUCAUUAUGCGUUGUGCAAGAAACCUGGUGGAGACCGUGGAGCCAUGAGUGCAAACAAAAGGUAUGACUGACUUGUGUUGUUAACAAGUACACUACUAAAGAGCCACUGCUCAUAUAUUUAACUGCAAGCAUUUUUCAUAAUUUUCAGUUUCAAUUGCUUGGUGAUUGUGAUGUUUGUUCCAUAGUGUAAGUGAAUCGUAUGUGCAUCUGUACCCUCUAAAAAUGCACUUUAAAUACACAUUUCUGUGACCGUAAUAACUGCCAUUUUAAAUUGGUAAUUAAAGCGCAAUUUUUCAUUAACUGAACCGGAGUUUGUUGCACAAUAUAUCACAAGUGGGUGUUUUCAAAAUGUCUUUAUUCAUUUGAAAUAGUUGCUUAAAUAUUUCUCCUGCACAGAUGUUUUAAACUAGAGACAAAAAAUAGAAGUCAACCUCAUAGUGCUGUACACUUCAGUGUGACCCCAACACUGUAGGUUAAGACCUUAUGUUUACUGGCUUAGUGUUGCAAUGUACUAAUUUGACAGUCAAAUUUACGGUGUACCUGGAAUGUUAUUUUGACAGUGAAUUAAUAAAAUGUCAAUGUAUUCUAGAGUCUUGUAAGACACAACUGCAAUUGCUGAUUAUGGGCGGUCGACCUCAACUGACAGAACCGUCCAGGUCAAAGGAGGCUCAUGGAUCUUGGCGGGAAGAUGGGCGAAGCCUGGGUUCUUCAAGGACGGUCCAGAGAAGACAACAGGCUACUGCCUUGGAUGCCCAGAAGUGGUCAAGCAAUUUCAGCCUCCUGUGACGGUGGAAAUUACCAGCAGCCUUUAGUGAUUUGAGUGAACGGACGGUCCAGAGAAGAAAACCGCCUCAGGCUGGCCAAGUGACUUCAGCCUCCUGUGAAAAUUGCCAACUGAAUGUGAGGACGAUUCAGAGAACACAACAGGCUCCUGCUUCAGGGUCAAGCAGCUUUAGCCUCCUGUGGAAAUUGCCUUGUGCUCCUGCCAACUUAGCGAUUUGAGUAACAGGAUGAAAGAAUCCAACUCUACAAGCGUUGCCAGAAGGUAAGACCUUUUGUGUGGGCUAGGGUUAGCGGGGCUAAGUGUGGGCUAGGGUUAGCGGGGCUAA